GCGAACGCUGGCGGCAGGCCUAACACAUGCAAGUCGAACGAACUCUUCGGAGUUAGUGGCGGACGGGUGAGUAACACGUGGGAACGUGCCUUUUGGUUCGGAAUAACUCAGGGAAACUUGUGCUAAUACCGAAUGUGCCCUUCGGGGGAAAGAUUUAUCGCCAUUAGAGCGGCCCGCGUCUGAUUCGCUAGUUGGUGAGGUAACGGCUCACCAAGGCGACGAUCAGUAGCUGGUCUGAGAGGAUGACCAGCCACACUGGGACUGAGACACGGCCCAGACUCCUACGGGAGGCAGCAGUGGGGAAUCUUGCGCAAUGGGCGAAAGACUGACGCAGCCAUGCCGCGUGAAUGAUGAAGGUCUUAGGAUUGUAAAAUUCUUUCACCGGGGACGAUAAUGACGGUACCCGGAGAAGAAGCCCCGGCUAACUUCGUG
rnacentral:rRNA from 1 species